rnacentral:rRNA from 1 species
AGAGUUUGAUCAUGGCUCAGGAUGAACGCUGGCGGCGUGCCUAACACAUGCAAGUCGAGCGAUUUACUUCGGUAAAGAGCGGCGGACGGGUGAGUAACGCGUGGGUAACCUGCCCUGUACACACGGAUAACAUACCGAAAGGUAUGCUAAUACGAGAUAAUAUGUUUUUAUCGCAUGGUAGAAGUAUCAAAGCUUUUGCGGUACAGGAUGGACCCGCGUCUGAUUAGCUAGUUGGUAAGGUAACGGCUUACCAAGGCUACGAUCAGUAGCCGACCUGAGAGGGUGAUCGGCCACAUUGGAACUGAGACACGGUCUAAACUCCUACGAGAGGCAGCAGUGGGGAAUAUUGCACAAUGGGCGAAAGCCUGAUGCAGCAACGCCGCGUGAGCGAUGAAGGCCUUCGGGUCGUAAAGCUCUGUCCUCAAGGAAGAUAAUGACGGUACUUGAGGAGGAAGCCCCGGCUAACUACGUGCCAGCAGCCGCGGUAAUACGUAGGGGGCUAGCGUUAUCCGGAAUUACUGGGCGUAAGGGUGCGUAGGUGGUUUCUUAAGUCAGAGGUGAAAGGCUACGGCUCAACCGUAGUAAGCCUUUGAAACUGGGAAACUUGAGUGCAGGAGAGGAGAGUGGAAUUCCUAGUGUAGCGGUGAAAUGCGUAGAUAUUAGGAGGAACACCGGUUGCGAAGGCGGCUCUCUGGACUGUAACUGACACUGAGGCACGAAAGCGUGGGGAGCAAACAGGAUUAGAUACCCCGGUAGUCC